UACGUAGGGUGCAAGCGUUGUCCGGAAUUAUUGGGCGUAAAGAGCUCGUAGGUGGUUUGUCGCGUUGUCCGUGAAAACUCACAACUCAAUUGUGGGCGUGCGGGCGAUACGGGCAGACUGGAGUACUGCAGGGGAGACUGGAAUUCCUGGUGUAGCGGUGGAAUGCGCAGAUAUCAGGAGGAACACCGGUGGCGAAGGCGGGUCUCUGGGCAUCUCCUGACGCUGAGGCGCGAAAGCGUGGGGAGCAAGCGGG
rnacentral:rRNA from 1 species